AGCAGCAGCAGCAGCAGCAGCAGCAGUAACAGGAUUAAGAAUAAAAUUAAGAAAAAGGACAAUAAAAAAAUCGGUUACCGGGAAGAAUUUAGCGGCAAUGCUCAUCAUAGACGUUACCUGACGAGCGCACUUGUGCGUAAGAGCAAGUUCGCGAUUCUGGUUAUCGACGCUCGAUGAUCUAACUGUCAAAAGCGUCAACAACCCGUUGGCUGUUGUCACCAAAGACUAUAUUCAUCGUCAUCGUUGUCGUCGUCGUCGUCGUCGUCGUAGUCGUCGUCGUCGUAGUCGUCGUCGUCAUCGACCUCAUCACGGCGAACAACCCUCACACACACGCUCCUGCGCGCCAUUUUUUUUGCAGAUCAUCCUUCUACUCUUCUAAUACUUUAUUUUAUUAAGAUAUCAACUUUUUACGUUAGAUCAAGAAACAAUUAUCGUGCAAGUAUCAUCGUCAUAAUUAUCGUCAGCAGCAGCAUCAUCAACAGAAGCAGUAACAUCAGUGAUAACAGCAAGUGUUUUUGAAAGGACAAUAAUUUUUCAUU